UGGAUCCAGACUUUGAUCCUGGCUCAGGAUGAACGCUGGCGGCGUGCCUAACACAUGCAAGUCGAACGGACUUACAUUGAAGCCUAGCGAUAUGUAAGUUAGUGGCGGACGGGUGAGUAACGCGUGGGUAACCUGCCUUGUACUGGGGGACAACAGUUGGAAACGACUGCUAAUACCGCAUAAGCGCACAGCUUCGCAUGAAGCAGUGUGAAAAACUCCGGUGGUACAAGAUGGACCCGCGUCUGAUUAGCUGGUUGGUGAGGUAACGGCCCACCAAGGCGACGAUCAGUAGCCGGCCUGAGAGGGUGAACGGCCACAUUGGGACUGAGACACGGCCCAAACUCCUACGGGAGGCAGCAGUGGGGAAUAUUGCACAAUGGGGGAAACCCUGAUGCAGCAACGCCGCGUGAGUGAAGAAGUAUUUCGGUAUGUAAAGCUCUAUCAGCAGGAAAGAAAAUGACGGUACCUGACUAAGAAGCCCCGGCUAACUACGUGCCAGCAGCCGCGGUAAUACGUAGGGGGCAAGCGUUAUCCGGAUUUACUGGGUGUAAAGGGAGCGUAGACGGUUUUGCAAGUCUGAAGUGAAAGCCCGGGGCUUAACCCCGGGACUGCUUUGGAAACUGUAGAACUAGAGUGCAGGAGAGGUAAGUGGAAUUCCUAGUGUAGCGGUGAAAUGCGUAGAUAUUAGGAGGAACACCAGUGGCGAAGGCGGCUUACUGGACUGUAACUGACGUUGAGGCUCGAAAGCGUGGGGAGCAAACAGGAUUAGAUACCCUGGUAGUCCACGCCGUAAACGAUGAUUACUAGGUGUUGGUGGGUAUGACCCAUCGGUGCCGCAGCAAACGCAAUAAGUAAUCCACCUGGGGAGUACGUUCGCAAGAAUGCAACUCAAAUGAAUUGACGGA
rnacentral:rRNA from 1 species